rnacentral:rRNA from 1 species
AUUGAACGCUGGCGGCAUGCCUUACACAUGCAAGUCGAACGGUAACGCGGGGCAACCUGGCGACGAGUGGCGAACGGGUGAGUAAUGCAUCGGAACGUGCCCAGUAGUGGGGGAUAGCCCGGCGAAAGCCGGAUUAAUACCGCAUACGACCUAAGGGUGAAAGGGGGGGUUGGCAAGACCUCUCGCAUUUGAGGCGGCGGUGUCAGAUUAGGGGAGUGGGGGGGGUAAAGGCCUACCAAGCCGACGAUCUGUAGCGGGUCUGAGAGGAGGACCAGCCACACUGGGACUGAGACACGGCCCAGACUCCUACGGGAGGCAGCAGUGGGGAAUUUUGGACAAUGGACGCAAGUCUGAUCCAGCCAUGCCGCGUGCGGGAAGAAGGCCUUCGGGUUGUAAACCGCUUUUGUCAGGGAAGAAAUCUUCUGGGUUAAUACCUCGGGAGGAUGACGGUACCUGAAGAAUAAGCACCGGCUAACUACGUGCCAGCCGCCGCAGUAA